GUGCUCACUUCAGCAGCACAUGUACUAAAAUUGGAACUAUACAGAGAAAAUUAGCCGUGGCCUCUGUGUGGGGGUGGCAUGCAGAUGGUCCAUAUUUUA
rnacentral:snRNA from 1 species